UUUUAAAUCAACCUUAAAACCAACCACACCGAUAAAAGCGAUUUGCUGUUUUAAUAACGUUUAAUUACCACUGCAUGAGCUCAUCUUGUGUUACAUCCUUAAGAGAGAGACCUGCGGCUGCCUCCUUCCUUUGGCUCCUUGGGUGUCUUUAUCUGAGCAUCACUUUUGCCUCCACUAUGACGCCCCUGAGCCUCCAGAAAGUGUCUCCAUCAGCUUUGUAAACCACACUGGGAUGAUGUUUGAGAAUCAGCAGUACACCCUGCAGUGUAGCGUACAGAACGUAGCUCCUGUUCAGAGCCUCACUGUGACCUUCUACAGAGGAAACACAGCACUGGGUCA